rnacentral:lncRNA from 1 species
UUUUACAGUUAAUGGAGGUUGGUCACUUUGGAACUCUUGGGAAACUUGUACAGUUACGUGUGGAACUGGUUUACAAAGAAGGCAACGCUUUUGUAAUAACCCUGUACGACAACAUAAUGGUGCUGAUUGUGGAGGAAACGAUUAUGAUGAAAAGUUGUGUUCGUUAUCAUUUUGUCCAGGUAAUAAAUAUUGGUAUUAGUUUAAUCUAUGUUAAGGAUUAAACAAAUGUGCUUUAUUUACAUCAAAUAUGCUGAUGCAAAGAUUAAGCAAAUUAUUUAAAGUGAAACCACCUUCCCUUUUUUCCAUUAUCUUUGGAUAUAACACGUAUAUUAUUUAUUGCAGAUUGAUUUGAAUUGCAUAAUAUUGUGGGUUUUCAGUAUUUGUUGCUUCGACUAUUAAAAAUAUACAAUGUCAUCUGUUGGAAAAUUAUGCUGUCAGCCAAUCAUGAUGCCAUCAUCAUAACUAUAGGAAACGAAAACUCCGAAAUAUCGUUUCAAUUCAAAGAUAUAUUCUCUUUUUAUAGAUGUUGCUGCAAUUUUCCUCUUACACAUAAAUAGAACUUCACAAUGGAAAAAUCGAUAUCAUCUGUGUUGUCGUAUGCUGUAGAAUCUUCCUAUGUCGUUCUUUUAAUAUGUGACUGUGAGGUGUUCGGUCAUAUUUUUUUUUAAAUAACAAAGUAUGCCUUGCAAAGGUGGGGGUUAUGAAAAGAGUCAUUAUUUAUCUGAUACUUUACAAAGCCUUUCAAAAAAAACAAGUUUUUACAUUUUUGUUACGCAAAAUAUCUUGUGUGUAAAACUCUUGAUCAUAUCUCAAUAUUAAUGAGAGGCCUGAUGGGGGGAUCUCAUCACGAUUCACAAGUUGAUUUUUUUUGUCAAUCACGAUUCACAGAAAAUAAAUUUCCAUGAUCACAGAUCACGAAAAUAUAAAAGAAAAAACAAUCUGUAGAAAAACGGAUCACGAUAGCGAAAAUGCGCCGAUCACGAAGAACGAAAAUAACCCAUCAGGCCCCUCAUUAAUGAUAGUAUCUUCAAAUGAGAAAUCUUAUCGGAUUGUGAUGUCUUGCACUUAAUAUAAGAUGUAUUAAGCCCUCAUGCCAAUAUUGAAACAAAGUUACCAAAUUCUGAUAUGGGCAAUUUUUGUUUUAAUUUGUGUGAAUUUUGUCAUCAUCUUUUUCUUGUGGUUUUAUUUGUAAUUUGUAUUUAAACUUUCAGCUCUUAGAUGCUGUAUAUAUGGUGCUGAAGGGUUUACAUAACUUUUGUCAAGUCCAUUUGUUAAAGCAGGUGAUGGAAUGUUUGUCCCAACAUUUAAUACAGUGAUAGUCUUUAGUUUUUCAAUUGGAAUUUUUACCUACCCUUUCUGUGGAUACUAAAUAUUAACUUUUUGACUAAGAGAAAAAGCUUUAUUUGCCUAUCUUUAAUUUAAAAAUAUUAUGAAGGUCAAACAAAAAUUACAGUUGAAAAUCAAUCCAUUCUUGAUGAUUUACUAUUUUCUUAUAUUUCAAAGCAUCUAAGCAUUGCCUAUCAUUCAAAUUACAUCUUGUCUAAAACCGUUGUUCAGAGAUAAAGAUUUAAAGGAGUAUUUUCCUCAACCAAAUUGUUUGUAUGUUCAUGAUGUAAAAAAUUGUAACAAAAAUACCGAACCACAAUGUAAAUAUAAAAAGAAGGAUAUACUAAUUAUACACGUAUUUAAAACAAAUCUUUGAACAUAAAUUCUGAAAUUAUAUUCUUACUUAACGAGAUUUUUCACUCUCUUCUAAAGAGGCUCACAUGCCUUGUUUAUACCGAUCUUUAAGCUUAUCUUAAUAACAUUUGUUGAUACAAUAAUAUAUAUAUAUAUAUCUGCCAGUCGAUUCCAUACAUAAUUGUUUAAAAUAUAACCAAAAUAUACAGUGAAACAAUUCUGUCAUUUUUGUAAAGAGAAAGAAAUGUGGUAUAGAUAGUUAUCAAAAGUACCAGGAUUAUAAUUAAGUACGCCAGACGCGCGUUUCGUCUACAUAAGACUCAUCAAUGACGCUCAAAUCAAAAUAUCUAUAAAGCCAAACAAGUACAAAGUUGAAGAGCAUUGAAGAUCUAAAAUUCCAAAAAGUUGUGCCAAAUACGACUAAGGUUAUCUAUGCCUAGGAUAAGAAAAUCCUUAGUUAUUCGAAAAAUUCAAAGUUUUGUAAACAGGAAUAUAAAUUGGUAUGUUUGCUAAUUAGAAAUAUAUCAUCAACAUAUCAAAAUUGAGUGGAUAGGAGCAGCAGUUAUAGGCCACCAUACAUACCAAUCUUCAUGUAACAAUUUAUAAACUUCAUAUACAAUUAAUGUGUUGGUUUUUGAAAUAUUAAACCAGUAGUGAUGCAUUAUGAAUUUUCGUAUAACGUAACAUAUACAAAGUAAAAUAACUCGAUUGAUUCUCUUUAAAAAGGGCGAAUUAGACACAGUUUUGUAUCGUCAAAAACAGUAAAGAACUAUCAAAACUUCUGUAGCUCGAAUAAAACCGUUUAUUUCCGAAACAUAAUUAUGAACAGAUGCCAUUAUAAUGUCAAAUAGUUUAAAUUGUUUUGCCUUCGACAACUCAUUAAGUGAGUUUAGCAAUGCCGAUAUGGCAUAUGACCCUUUCAACACACAGUUUGUUGGGUCAUUGGAAACUUACCAUUCAGAUAAUCCACAUAUCUGAUUAUAAUUGGGAUUAGAAUACUGGUGGCUUUUAACUGCCGUAUAGAAUAAAAUAAAUUAUAAUAUUCCUUUUGUCUAGUUGAUGGAGAUUGGUCAUCAUGGGAUCCAUGGGACACUUGUACAGUAACAUGUGGGAAUGGUGAACAAAGAAGAACACGGUUUUGUAACAACCCUGCACCACAAAACGGUGGCUCUAAUUGUACAGGGGAAAUAUAUGAGGAUCAAUCUUGUGCUGUAUCUGAAUGUGAAGGUAAGUAACUUCUACCGGAACAUGUUUUUUAUAUAAAAGAAUCGUUAACUCUGUUUUUCAAACUUCAUUUCAUAAGUAUACAAUUCUAUGGCAGCAGAGAUGAUAGGAUCCAUCAUCUCAUAUUUCAUAUCUUUUAUAAUUCUUUCUAAAAUACUUGUACAUUGUAUAGGUACAAAUAUAUUCGUGUUUGUGUGUUUUGAUAAGAGUGCAAAGAGAUUAAUAACUAUGCUGUAUUACACAAGAGGAAAAGGUUUCAUGGAGAAUGUCUUUAGAUCUUUGACUUCAAAAUAUGUGGAUUUCACUAUUUCAAAACUACUUUAAAAUAAUCAGAAUAUUUCAUAAUAAAAAAAUAUCAUUUAUAAGAUACGUUUAUUGUCGUUCCCAAUUAUGUAUUGUUAAGAAUUCAAUAUUUUCAUCAACUGUUAUAUUUAUCGAGAAUGGAUCAUUCAACGAUCAUAUACUGUUAACUGCUUGUAACUGUACCUGGCUGCAUAAAGAAGCAAUGUAUAACAGAACCUCUUUUUAAUUCUAAUCAGGGGACAUAAAGAUAAUAGAGUAAAUAUUUAUCGAAGGUACAAGGCUUAUAAUUUGCUACGUCAGACGUGCGUUUCGUUAUCACUGACGCUCAUAUCAAAAAUGUAAAAAGGCCAAUCAAGAACAAAUUUGAAGAGCAUAUAGGACCCAACAUUCCAAACAGUUGGGCCAAAUUACUAGGCACUCAACGUGUGGGGACUUGGAGGUAUAUUGGUUGAAUGUAAUAGAUGCGAUUCGCAAAUACAAUGUAUGAGUAAGACGACAAUAUUUCUUUUAUCUAACCUAAUAACGUUUUUCUCAUGUAAAUGGGUUUUUUUUCCUGAAUUAUAAACAUGUGAUUCUAAGAUUAUAUCAUUCAAAAUUUUCUUUAUUCAAUUUCUUCUUUGAAAAACAUGUACAAACGUUUAGCAAAAAACGUUAAUUGUAGAAGCCAAUGCAGCAGGAUCAGUAGCUCCCAUAGCCGGAGGCGUUGGAGGAGGUAUUGUUGUGAUAGUUUGCAUUGUCCUGAUCAUAGUUGUGUAUAUAAUGAAGAGGUAAUUUAAAAAAAAACAUGGUUAAUUGACGUUUUUGUACCCCUUUUACAUUUAACUCUUUUUUAUUUGUCUUUAGUUUUUAAUAAUCUAGAGAAUAUGUAUGUUUGUAGCAAUAUUUGAAUGUACAUCUAUCUUGUUUUUAGCAACGUUUGCUAAGAUCGUUAGUAAAAUGCGGACAAGGACGUUUUAAAUUAAAAUGUUAUUAUAGAGUAGAAUAGAAAAGAAGGAUAUGGCUAUCCAUUCAUGACACACAAUAAGUACAUACACAAAAACAACCACACAACAAGCGCUUUCAGUGUUGUUCCUCUUAUUAAAGUCACAAUGAAGCCUCAACAGAGGGGAAAAAAGCUCUCAACUCACUGCAAGUUUAAGACGCCCGGCACCUAAGACUGGCGUGAAAAGAAUUAUUUGCAAAAUGUAUUUGGAUAGACGAAGUAGUAUGCUACAAAACCAAAUCGGGCACGGUCAAAAUUUGUUAUUUCUUAUUCUUCGAUUUAUUUUAAAAAAUAGAUAAAACAGUCCAAGGCAAACGUACGUUUUGUCGUAGUAAUUUUCAACCUUAAUUUUACAAAUUAAACAAUGAGGUGAACGUUAUCAAAGGGACAUUAAAAUCAUAUGUAGAAGAAUAACUGACAACGCCAAGACCAAAAAUGAGUAACGAGGAAAAAACGAACAAAUCCUCAAAACACUACUUUAAUACCUAAAUGUUGAACUACAUAAAUCUCACUUAAACGGGGAUUGAACUAAUGUACCUAUAGGACGGGUUAGCACCUUCAAGUGUGUAAAUAGUACAUAAUAAAUAUACACAUCCUUUGUUAACUCAAUAGGUUGUAUUCAUAUUUAAACAUUCUAGUGAAAGUAUUUAUCUUAUUUUCUUAUAAUCUUGUUUCAAAUAAGAAAAAGACGUAAACCUGUGGAUGAUAGAGUAUCUGAAGAAAAUCAAGGACUUCAGUUUGCAGAUACCCUGGUUUCAUUACGACAAGGU